rnacentral:rRNA from 1 species
CCGGCAAACGGGUGCGGAACACGUACAGAACCUUCCUUUAAGCGGGGGAUAGCCCGGAGAAAUCCGGAUUAAUACCCCAUAUUAUUAUUUGGUGGCAUCACCGGGUAAUUAAAGAUUUAUCACUUAGAGAUGGCUGUGCGGCUGAUUAGGUAGUUGGUGUGGGUAACGGCUCACCAAGCCUUCGAUCAGUAACGGGUGUGAGAGCACGACCAGUCACACGGGCACUGAGACACGGGCCCG